rnacentral:rRNA from 1 species
AGAGUUCGAUUCUGGCUCAGGACGAACGCUGGCGGCGUGCCUAACACAUGCAAGUCGAACGGAAGCAAAGAUUUCGGUUUUUGCUUUAGUGGCGAACGGGUGAGUAACGCGUGAGGAACCUGCCUUUCAGUGGGGGACAACAGUUGGAAACGACUGCUAAUACCGCAUAAUGCUUUUUGAUGGCAUCAUUGAAAAGCCAAAGAUUUAUUGCUGAAAGAUGGCCUCGCGUCUGAUUAGCUAGUUGGUGGGGUAACGGCCCACCAAGGCGACGAUCAGUAGCCGGUCUGAGAGGAUGAACGGCCACAUUGGGACUGAGAUACGGCCCAG